rnacentral:rRNA from 1 species
GAUCAUGGCUCAGGAUGAACGCUAGCUACAGGCUUAACACAUGCAAGUCGAGGGGCAGCAUUGGAGUGGCAAUACUCAGAUGGCGACCGGCGCACGGGUGAGUAACACGUAUCCAACCUGCCGCUUACUCGGGGAUAGCCUUUCGAAAGAAAGAUUAAUACCCGAUGGUAUAAAGAGUUCGCAUGUUCUCUUUAUUAAGAAUUUCGGUAAGCGAUGGGGAUGCGUUCCAUUAGAUAGUUGGCGGGGUAACGGCCCACCAAGUCUACGAUGGAUAGGGGUUCUGAGAGGAAGGUCCCCCACAUUGGAACUGAGACACGGUCCAAACUCCUACGGGAGGCAGCAGUGAGGAAUAUUGGUCAAUGGACGAGAGUCUGAACCAGCCAAAGUAGCGUGAAGGAUGACUGCCCUAUGGGUUGUAAACUUCUUUUAUAAGGGAAUAAAGUGAGGGACGUGUCCCUUUUUGUAUGUACCUUAUGAAUAAGGAUCGGCUAACUCCGUGCCAGCCGCCGC